UUAAGGGGGGGGUACACAUGGAAUCAUUUGAAAAAAUCGAUUUUCAUUUUUUGAGCUAAAUAGUUACUGUGGCAUGUAAUUGAUGUUGUGAAAGUAUUUAUUUGCUUGAAUUUAAAAAAUUGUUCUGUCAGGAGCUGUUUUUAACCACCUCACUAUAAUUUUCAGCUUGGUUUCCAUGGUAACGAAAUGCAGAAUCCUUCAUAUUUUUCAUGUUUUUACCAAUAUACUGCUGUCCCUCCCCUCCCUAAUAUAAAAUAAUGAUACAGGCUCAUCUCUAGAUGAUUUUGCAGCGGAUUUACGUGGCGAUUAUGCGCAUAGAUGCGUUUUUUGAGAACUGGUGAUUCAAACAGAACAAACUCGAAAAUGUGUUUCAAUAUUUAAUAAAUAUUGAUCACUUUUGUGUAUAUAUUUCUUAACAUAUGGUUAAAAAUAACUAAUAAUGGUUCACAGAAAACAUUAAAACGAAACUUUAUUCACUGGGGUGAAGAAAUGCGCUAUAAAGACGACGAUAAAACGUGAACACAUUCAGGCAAUAAUCGGGCAUUAUUUCAAUUGGCAUUCAAUGCCAAAUAUCAACAGUCAUCUUCGAUUUGGAUUCUUGGACGUCUUAUAAACAGAUCUUCAAACGUUUAUUCUGCUGAACUUAAAAGUUGUGG